rnacentral:rRNA from 1 species
AUUGAACGCUGGCGGAAUGCUUUACACAUGCAAGUCGAACGGCAGCACGGGGGCAACCCUGGUGGCGAGUGGCGAACGGGUGAGUAAUACAUCGGAACGUGCCCUGUCGUGGGGGAUAACGUAGCGAAAGUUACGCUAAUACCGCAUACGAUCUGAGGAUGAAAGCGGGGGACCUUCGGUCCUCGCGCGAUCGGAGCGGCCGAUGUCAGAUUAGGUAGUUGGUGGGGUAAAGGCCUACCAAGCCGACGAUCUGUAGCUGGUCUGAGAGGACGACCAGCCACACUGGGACUGAGACACGGCCCAGACUCCUACGGGAGGCAGCAGUGGGGAAUUUUGGACAAUGGGCGCAAGCCUGAUCCAGCCAUUCCGCGUGCAGGACGAAGGCCUUCGGGUUGUAAACUGCUUUUGUAUGGAACGAAAAGGCUCUGGCUAAUACCUGGGGCUCAUGACGGUACCGUAAGAAUAAGCACCGGCUAACUACGUG